GACGAACGCUGGCGGCGUGCUUAACACAUGCAAGUCGAACGGAAAGGCCCUGCUUUUGUGGGGUGCUCGAGUGGCGAACGUGUGAGUAACACGUGAGUAACCUGCCCUUGACUUUGGGAUAACUUCAGGAAACUGGUGCUAAUACCGGAUAGGAGCUCCUGCUGCAUGGUGGGGGUUGGAAAGUUUCGGCGGUUGGGGAUGGACUCGCGGCUUAUCAGCUUGUUGGUGGGGUAGUGGCUUACCAAGGCUUUGACGGGUAGCCGGCCUGAGAGGGUGACCGGCCACAUUGGGACUGAGAUACGGCCCAGACUCCUACGGGAGGCAGAAGGGGGGAAUAUUGCACAAUGGGCGGAAGCCUGAUGCAGCAACGCCGCGUGCGGGAUGACGGCCUUCGGGUUGUAAACCGCUUUCGCCUGUGACGAAGCGUGAGUGACGGUAAUGGGUAAAGAAGCACCGGGUAACUACGUG
rnacentral:rRNA from 1 species